UACGGAGGGGGCUAGCGUUGUUCGGAAUUACUGGGCGUAAAGCGCACGUAGGCGGAUCAGUCAGUUAGAGGUGAAAGCCCAGGGCUCAACCCUGGAACUGCCUUUAAUACUGCUGGUCUGGAGUCCGAGAGAGGUGAGUGGAAUUCCGAGUGUAGAGGUGAAAUUUGUAGAUAUUCGGAGGAACACCAGUGGCGAAGGCGGCUCACUGGCUCGGUACUGACGCUGAAGUGCGAAAGCGUGGGGAGCAAACAGG
rnacentral:rRNA from 1 species